UACGGAGGGUGCAAACGUUGCUCGGAAUCAUUGGGCGUAAAGCGCACGUAGGCGGCCCAGCAAGUCAGAUGUGAAAUCCCUCGGCUUAACCAAGGAAGUGCAUUUGAAACUGCUGGGCUUGAAUAUUGGAGAGGGUCGCAGAAUUCUCGGUGUAGAGGUGAAAUUCGUAGAUAUCGGGAGGAAUACCAGUGGCGAAGGCGGCGACCUGGCCAAAUAUUGACGCUGAGGUGUGAAAGCGUGGGGAGCAAACAGG
rnacentral:rRNA from 1 species